UUGUUUUCUGAGCAUCAUAGGCCCAAGAAGUCAAGCUUAACCCUGUUACACUGAAAGGGAAACUAGAUUAUGUUUUUAAUUGACUUAAUUUGGUAUUAAAUAAAUAUUGUUCUGUAAUUUUAACAUUUUCUUACUUACAGAAAUGGACUUGUCAAUGUUGUGUGAGAAGGACGGGGUUGUGGAUGUCCCCACAGAAUCUUUGUAAAAAAAAAUUGCUCUGGAGAAAACAAAACUUGAUUCUUCGCAUUGAAAGUUUCCAUCCAGAAAUUGACCUUGGUGAUGUUGCUGUAAGGCAAAAAUAGCAUGAAUUAGAUUCUUCUGUUCCUGUUCCUAAAAGCAAAAAAAUUCUUGAGAAAAAGGAAAUCCAGAAAUGAUCAGGAAUGUGGUGACAGGUCAGAGUUGGAAAAAUAGUAGAGCCUCUUGUUGUUAGUAAAGCAGCCCGCCAAACCACCAUGAAAGAGACUGAAAUGACUACUGCACAGAUAACAUUUUGAGCUGGACAAUCAGUGAAUUGAGCUGUAGAAACCAAGUGACAGAAAACAUAUCUUUUAGGCCAGGAAAAAUCAAUCUUUAGAUAUUCAAAAUAAUGUCAGGCACUUUAAUCUAUA